rnacentral:rRNA from 1 species
GACGAACGCUGGCGGCGUGCCUAAUACAUGCAAGUCGAACGCAGUGGGGACGGGUGAGUAACACGUGGGUAACCUCCCAUCAGAGGGGAUAACACUUGGAAACAGGUGCUAAACCGAUACUGAUGGAUGGACCCGCGGUGCAUUAGCUAGUUGGUGAGGUAACGGCUCACCAAGGCCACGUGGCAUAGCCGCCCGGACAGGGGGAUCGCCCACACUGUGACUGCGACACGGCCCAGACUCCGACGUGAGGCAGCAUUAGGGAAUCUUUGACAAUGGACGAAAGGCUACCCAAGUUACGCCGCUUGAGUGAAGAAGGUUUUCGGAUCGUAAAUCUCUGUUGUUAGAGAAGCGGUAUCUAACCAGAACGCCACGGCUAACUACGUGCCAGCCGCCGCGGUAAUAC